rnacentral:ncRNA from 1 species
AGAAAGACAGGGACAGGAAAUAGUAGAGAGACUGCUCGCUUAUAGAGAGCCAUUGGAAGGUGGGAAAUGGCAGGAGCAUUUCAUCGAACUCAUCCUCGAGUCGCAGGCUGAAGAGAGUAGGCCUCGCCGGAACCUGACCGUUAUCAGACAGAGUGCAUAUUUCUGCAGAAAUAUGAAUAAGAGUGGUACCGCGAAUCUUUCGUCUCUUGC